rnacentral:rRNA from 1 species
GACUAACGCUGGCGGCGUGCCUAACACAUGCAAGUCGAACGAGGUAGCAAUACCUAGUGGCAGACGGGUGAGUAACGCGUAGAUAAUGUGCCCUCUUGCGGGGGAUACCGUUUCGAAAGGAACGUUAAUACCGCAUAAUACGACCUGGAGGCAUCUCCAGGGCGUCAAACUUCCGGGGCGGGAGGAGCAGUCUGCGUUCUAUCAGUUAGUUGGUGGGGUAAUGGCCUACCAAGACUACGACGGAUAACUGGUCUGAGAGGAUGAUCAGUCACACUGGAACUGAGACACGGUCCAGACUCCUACGGGAGGCAGCAGUGAGGAAUAUUGCGCAAUGGGCGAAAGCCUGACGCAGCGACGCCGCGUGGAGGAUGACGGCCUUCGGGUUGUAAACUCCUGUCAGUGGGGAAGAGAAUGGACGGUACCCACUGAGGAAGCUUCGGCUAACUACGUG